AGCAAAUGCCGGGCGACGCGGAGCUGCCCCCCAGCGUUCGAACUCCCGCGGCCCAGAGGGCGGGCCCCACACCCCGGGGACCUGGAAAAUAUGUAUUUCCUGUAUCUACCAACCCCAAGGACCAACUAGUAAGGACAGAGGCCCCAACACCUAGAUCCUGGUCUCCAAAUAGCAUUCCUCCAGGGCUUCCUGGGGAAAUCCUUGCUGCUGGGUCUAAAGCAAGAAGGGUCAGGAUGACCCCAGGACAUUGUCAUGCCUACAAGCAGAAAACGUUAUUAAAAGAGAAAAGGAUCCUAUGCAAGUGAUAUGGGCUCCGCACUGAACAAAGAGCAGUUUGACCAUCGAAUUGGAAAAUUAUCACUGCAAUCGUGAAACGCACCAAAUAUACCGACACAUACGAGCACGUAAUGACACCACAAACAGAAACAGUGCCGUUGGUCAGCUCUGGAGACUGCUACGACACCCGGUCACCAAUCCGGAAGAUUGAUAAAGGACAAGCAUCAAGUAUGUAUUCUGCCUGUCCCUAUAGACCGCCUUUCAGGGCAAGCCGGUGGGGGAUGCAGAGCAGUCAUUCUUCACGAGAGUCCCAGCUAUCCGACCAAGCCGGGGAGCCGGGCAGGAAACCCCCACCUUGCGGUCCCUAACGGCUGAUGGAGCCGCACUCGCGGGUGAGCGCUGAGGCUGUGGGAUCGCUGAGGCUGUGGGAUCGAGGACGGACUGGGACUCUGUCCUUCACUGCAGAAAUGUCCUCACGCAGACAGAAGCCGCCUUGUAAAAACGUGUGACACCGACACAGAUGACCAGGGUUGUUGCUGAUGGAAUCCCCACGUGAGCUUCUUGAGCCGCGCAGCAGUCGUGUUCAGACCUCACCAAAAUCGAGAUCAAACAAGGCGCGCAGACUGCUUCCAGCUCUUCUCAGGGCUCCUUGUAAGCCACAGCCCCUUGUUCUCCCCUCCCCCCACCCGCCCCCAGAGGAAAUUGGUUGUACUGUGAGUUUCCCAUAUUCUGGACUUAGCUGAGCAACGUAAUGUAACCUAUUUCUAUAAACGGGUGGGUAAGA